rnacentral:rRNA from 1 species
ACGGGGAGGAAGAAACUAACAAGGAUUCCCCUAGUAACUGCGAGUGAAGCGGGAAAAGCUCAAAUUUAAAAUCUGAGGGUCUUGUUGGCCUUCCGAGUUGUAAUCUAGAGAAGUGCUAUCCGCGCUGGACCGUGUACAAGUCUCCUGGAACGGAGCGUCAUAGAGGGUGAGAAUCCCGUCUUUGACACGGACUACCAGGGCUUUGUGUGAUACGCUCUCAAAGAGUCGAGUUGUUUGGGAAUGCAGCUCUAAAUGGGUGGUAAAUUCCAUCUAAAGCUAAAUAUUGGCGAGAGACCGAUAGCGAACAAGUACCGUGAGGGAAAGAUGAAAAGAACUUUGGAAAGAGAGUUAAAAAGUACGUGAAAUUGUUGAAAGGGAAACGCUUGAAGUCAGUCGCAUUGGCCAGGGAUCAACCUUGCUUUUGCUUGGUUUAUUUUCUGGUUAAUGGGUCAGCAUCAAUUUUGAUCGGUGGAAAAAGAUCAAGGGAAUGUGGCAUCUUCGGAUGUGUUUUAUAGCCUUUGGUUGUAUACAUCGAUUGGGAUUGAGGAACUCAGCACGCCGCAAGGCCGGGUUUUUAACCACGUACGUGCUUAGGAUGCUGGCAUAAUGGCUUUAAUCGACCCGUCUUGAAACACGGACCAAGGAGUCUAACAUGCACGCGAGUGUUUGGGUGGAAAACCCGAGCGCGUAAUGAAAGUGAAAAUUGAGAUCCCUGUCGUGGGGAGCAUCGAUGCCCGGACCAGAUCUUUUGUGACGGUUCCGCGGUUGAGCGUGUAUGCUGGGACCCGAAAGAUGGUGAACUAUGCCUGAAUAGGGUGAAGCCAGAGGAAACUCUGGUGGAGGCUCGUAGCGAUUCUGACGUGCAAAUCGAUCGUCAAAUUUGGGUAUAGGGGCGAAAGACUAAUCGAACCAUCUUUCGGCAC